rnacentral:rRNA from 1 species
CAGAGCUUGCUUUGACAGAAACCGGCGCACGUUUGCGUAACACGUAUGCAACCUACCUAUUACUGGGAGAUAGCCCGGGGAAACUCGGAUUAAUAUCCCAUAGUAUCGUUUGAUGGCAUCUGAAGACGAUUAAAGCUCCGGCGGUAAUAGAUGGGCAUGCGGAAGAUUAGCUAGUUGGUGAGGUAACGGCUCACCAAGGCAACGAUCUUUAGGGGUUCUGAGAGGAUUAUCCCCCACACUGGCACUGAGAUACGGGCCAGACUCCUACGGGAGGCAGCAGUAGGGAAUAUUGGUCAAUGGGUGAGAGCCUGAACCAGCCAUGCCGCGUGCAGGAUGACGGCCUUCUGGGUUGUAAACUGCUUUUCUACAAGAAGAAAAAAUCCUUGCGAGGAUAAUUGACGGUAUUGUAGGAAUAAGCACCGGCUAACUCCGUGCCAGCAGCCGCGGUAAUACGGAGGGUGCAAGCGUUGUCCGGAUUUAUUGGGUUUAAAGGGUACGUAGGUGGAUCUUUAAGUCCGUGGUGAAAGCCUGCAGCUUAACUGUAGAAUUGCCAUGGAUACUGGAGAUCUUGAAUUCAGUUGAGGUAGGCGGAAUUUACGGUGUAGCGGUGAAAUGCAUAGAUACCAUAAAGAACACCCAUUGCGAAGGCAGCUUACUGGACUUGAAUUGACGCUGAGGUA